GACGAACGCUGGCGGCGUGCUUAACACAUGCAAGUCGAACGGAAAGGCCCUGCUUUUGUGGGGUGCUCGAGUGGCGAAAGGGUGAGUAACACGUUAGUAACCUGCCCUUGACUUUGGGAUAACUUCAGGAAACUGGGGCUAAUACCGGACAGGAACUCCUGCUGCAGGGUGGGGGUUGGAAAGUUUCGGCGGUUGGGGAUGGACUCGCGGCUUAUCAGCUUGUUGGUGGGGUAGUGGCUUACCAAGGCUUUGACGGGUAGCCGGCCUGAGAGGGUGACCGGCCACAUUGGGACUGAGAUACGGCCCAGACUCCUACGGGAGGCAGCAGUGGGGAAUAUUGCACAAUGGGCGGAAGCCUGAUGCAGCAACGCCGCGUGCGGGAUGACGGCCUUCGGGUUGUAAACCGCUUUCGCCUGUGACGAAGCGUGAGUGACGGUAAUGGGUGAAGAAGCACCGGCUAACUACGUG
rnacentral:rRNA from 1 species